GGAAAUAGUGGUAUGUGUGGAGAGACGCUAGAGAUCUCUCUGUAGAGAGUGAGAGAGAAGGGGGAGAGAGUAGAGGAGGA
ensembl:ncRNA Y47H9C.16 ncRNA